GACGAACGCUGGCGGCGUGCUUAACACAUGCAAGUCGAACGAUGAUGCCCAGCUUGCUGGGUGGAUUAGUGGCGAACGGGUGAGUAACACGUGAGUAACCUGCCCCUGACUCUGGGAUAAGCGUUGGAAACGACGUCUAAUACUGGAUAUGACUACUGGUCGCAUGGCCUGGUGGUGGAAAGAUUUUUUGGUUGGGGAUGGACUCGGGGCCGAUCAGCUUGUUGGUGAGGUAAUGGCUCACCAAGGCGACGACGGGUAGCCGGCCUGAGAGGGUGACCGGCCACACUGGGACUGAGACACGGCCCAGACUCCUACGGGAGGCAGCAGUGGGGAAUAUUGCACAAUGGGCGAAAGCCUGAUGCAGCAACGCCGCGUGAGGGAUGACGGCCUUCGGGUUGUAAACCUCUUUUAGUAGGGAAGAAGCGAAAGUGACGGUACCUGCAGAAAAAGCACCGGCUAACUACGUGCCAGCCGCCGCAGUAA
rnacentral:rRNA from 1 species